GCAGGCGCCACCGUGGUCCCACGAAACUGGGCCUCUUCACAGACAGACCCACAGUUCGCGAGCAUGGCUCAGCGCUGCCCCGCUUCUCCCAGCGCCCCUUCCCGACCUGUGAACGCCUUUACCGCCCUAGGAAAGCGAGAUCUUGUCAGAGAACCUUCCGGCGCCUGUUUCCUGGCAGUGGGGCAUAGUCCAACAGCUGGCUCCCCCAAGAUAGCCAGCGGCCAUUACGCGCUUGGGUCGGAGGAGAUGGAGUCGCAUUUAGCCGCACAGCAGCCUGGGACCUGAAGUUUUCGGCCGCUGAGCGUUCUGGGUGAUUGCGUAGUGCGAGGGCCAACGAAACCUUCUGGGAAGUGUAGUCCAGCAAGCCGCUCACUUAUCGUGAGGCGUCACAUCCUGCUGCUUCACCCUCUGGUGCACGGGAGGACCAACUAUUUCAGUCGAUAACUUGAAGGUCAUGAUGUUCUGUUUUCUGGUUAUGCUGACGACUCAAAUCAGGGCCAUCAGAGAUUUCAAUGCACUGUCAAUCUACAAGAAGGGUAUAUGAUAUGCAAUUGUUUCACAAACACUGUAACAAAUGAUUUUGAAGAGGACAUCUUAGGAUACUCUGAGUUACUCCAACUUGGACAUUUCACAGAUGAGGAAAUUGAAGAUCGGAGUGGUGAAGAGACUUUAGGUUAUACAAAAGGCUCUGGCUAAGAAGCUGAUCUACAAAAGGCUCUGGCUAAGAAGCUGAUCUGGGAUGCAAACCCAGGACUGUUAUGUAAUGAUUGUUCCAGGAUAUGAUGCCAAUGUAGGAGGCAGAGAGAGUCAAACCCAGGGAUAGUUUCUCUUAUCCUUGUAAGUCAGGCAGUGAAGAGGAGAGAAUGGGGAUUUUGAGUUAAUAGAGGACAUGUCACACAACAUAGAUGAAAACACUGCCUAGACAGGGGGCUGGUUAACAAAGCAGGGUAUUAGGAAGAUCUCUGCCAUGGCAGGGGCCAUGUGGAGAGACUCAGCAAGCCAGUCAGAAAAAUUCAUCCCGUCUGAAAAAUUCUUCAAGCUGCAGCAGAACUGGGACAUCCGUUUAAACAGGACAGCUCCAUGGGACUAGCUUCAUGAGGACAUGUUGAAUGAGAGUCAGACUUUCCAUCACACUCCCCCAUGAAAAGAGAGAAUGAGCUAAGCUUAUCUGCCUUGUCUGUAAAAAAGAAGUUAAACCUAUGGCUGGUCACUUCAUGCACUUAGCAGUGUCUGGGACAUGGUAUCUACUUCAUAUCCAGUUGUUACUAUUAUUCUAAAUAUCUAUCACUAUCAAGCACACUAGUUAUGGGUCCCAUCAGUCUAGCACCUUAAACAUGUACCCCCUCAAACUCAUAUGCCGAUUACAAGAGUCUACUGGGGGGCAUCAAAACUCUGCAACCAAAGUUCACAGGUAAAACUCUGAGACCUGUGAUGUGUAUUAACGUACAGAAUAUUAUUAACGUACAGAAUAGAGAUGAAAAUUCUUCUUAGUUCCCAGGAUCCGUGUGAUGAAUUUAAAGAAAUAAUGUAAGCACCCUGUAAACUGCAAAUGACUAUCCAAAUGUGAAGGAAUAUCAUUACUGUUAUUACUAUUACUGGUUAUUGCUAUUUUUAGAAUACUCAGGAAAACACAUAUUCUCAUCAAAACACUUUUCUUAAUAGUUUAGAUCAAUUUCCUUUAUCAUUUUAUUCUGAAGCCCUUCAGAAUAAAAGUAAAGGAAGGUAAAUAAAAGUAAAAUUAAAGUAAGGAAAAAAGCUGAAGGUAAAACCCAAGAGAAUAACAACAUUUUAGAGGAAGAGGGAAGAGUCAUCCAAAGAACUAUGGAUGAGAGUGGGCAGACACAUGAAGACAACCAGAGGAAAAUGUCACAGAAUGCAGGGGAGGAGGAAGAUUCAUAAUGUGAUAAUGGUCAGUGGUGACAGAUGAUACAGGAGUCCAAGAAGCUUGAAAAGAAUAAAAUCUGAAGACUUCAGGUAAACAGUAAAGGAGGAAAUGGGUAUAGGGAUCUAUGCUCAGGUUAAAUGACAGAUGAGUUACUAUAGUUAUUUAUUUAUUUAUUGAAAUGGAGUUUUGCUCUUGUUGCCCAGGCUGGAGUGCAGUGGCCCAAUCUCAGCUCACUACAACUUCCAACAACUCCUGGGUUCAAGCAAUUCUUCUGUCUCAGCCUCCCAAGUAGCCGGGAUUACAGGCAUGCACCACCACGCCUGGCUAAUUUUGUGUUUUUAGUAGAGACAGGGUUUCACCAUGUUGGUCAGGGUGGUCUUGAACUCCUCACUUCAGGUGAUCCACCCGCCUUGGCCUCCCAAAGUGCUGGGCUUAUAGGCGUGAGCCACCAAACCCGGCUAUUUACUAUAUUUAAAUAAAUAUUUAUGGGUUUUUUUCUUUUUGAAAUACAUUUGUUUUGUUUAUUCAAGUACUUUAACUCAAGCAAUUUAACAAAUGUUUAUUAAUUAAAUCAAGAUACCAUGCACGAGGCCAAACAAUAAUAUAUUAAGAACACUGGAAGUUAAAAAUAAAAAAAAAAAUCUGGCCUGAAUUCUACCUCCUCCACUUAUGAACUUUCAAAUCUUUUUUUUCUAGCAAAGGUUGUCCAUCGCUGUUAAGAUGACCUUGAACACUUUACAUGACUUUCUGAGCCUCUUUUUCCUCAUUAAAACAGAGAUUGCAUCACCCACUCUGCUUCCUCACAAGGAAUUUGUGAGGAUUAAAUUAAAUAAUGACUAUGCAGAUAAAAGUACUGUUAUUCAGCAGGAGAGAGGCAUGUGCAUUAAUAAGCACGAUGAUAGUUUAUUAUAUAUGGUGAGAAAUAUUACUGAUGAGCGGACUGAAGCUGUUCAUUGCAUAUUCUCUCUGUAGGAAAUUCUAAAUGGAAAGCUGACUAUAGUCAGAAAAAUGCCAGAGAUUGGUAUGGGAUCAAAGGUGAAUUUUAAUGGCUAAUGUCAACAUCAUUGUCUGAUGUGUUGAUCUUAAUAUAUUCAUAUUUCAUGUUUAUCUUUUAUUGAUAUCAAGCACUCAUUUAAAAAAUCAUAUUUCUAAAGUAUAUAUAAUAAUAUGGAGAAAUGAUCACAAUAUAAUGCUAAGUAAAAGAAGACAGAACUCUCUGUAUGGUGUGAUUCUAAUUUUGUUUUACAUAUUAUAUAUAAAGAAAGAUACAAAGCCUAUAUACUAAAAGAAUAAUGUUUCCUUUGCAGUGGUGGAAUUAUGAGUGGUUUAUCUUUGGCUUUAUAUUUUUCUGUAUCCUCCUAAUUUUAUAUAGUAAACAUUUUUUAAUGUUAAAAAUAUUUAAAAUAAAGAAUCUUAGAACCUUC